GACGAACGCUGGCGGCGUGCCUAAUACAUGCAAGUUGAGCGCUGAAGGUUGGUACUUGUACCGACUGGAUGAGCAGCGAACGGGUGAGUAACGCGUGGGGAAUCUGCCUUUGAGCGGGGGACAACAUUUGGAAACGAAUGCUAAUACCGCAUAAAAACUUUAAACACAAGUUUUAAGUUUGAAAGAUGCAAUUGCAUCACUCAAAGAUGAUCCCGCGUUGUAUUAGCUAGUUGGUGAGGUAAAGGCUCACCAAGGCGAUGAUACAUAGCCGACCUGAGAGGGUAAUCGGCCACAUUGGUACUGAGACACGGCCCAAACUCCUACGGGAGGCAGCAGUAGGGAAUCUUCGGCAAUGGACGAAAGUCUGACCGAGCAACGCCGCGUGAGUGAAGAAGGUUUUCGGAUCGUAAAACUCUGUUGGUAGAGAAGAACGUUGGUGAGAGUGGAAAGCUCAUCAAGUGACGGUAACUACCCAGAAAGGGACGGCUAACUACGUG
rnacentral:rRNA from 1 species